CACGAGUGGCGGACGGGUGCGUAACGCGUAUACAACCUACCUUAGAGUGGGGGAUAGCCUAGAGAAAUUUAGAUUAAUACCCCAUACCAUUUAUAUUUUGCAUGAGAUAUAGAUAAAAACUUAGGUGCUUUGAGAUGGGUAUGCGUGACAUUAGCUAGUUGGUGAGGUAAUGGCUCACCAAGGCGACGAUGUCUAGCUGGUCUGAGAGGAUGAUCAGCCACACUGGAACUGAGACACGGUCCAGACUCCUACGGGAGGCAGCAGUAGGGAAUAUUGGUCAAUGGGGGGAACCCUGAACCAGCCAUGCCGCGUGAAGGAAGACGGCCCUCAGGGUUGUAAACUUCUUUUUUUAGGGGAUAAGUCUAUCCUAUAUGGGUAGUUGAAGGUACCUAAAGAAUAAGCACCGGCUAACUCCGUGCCAGCAGCCGCGGUAAUACGGAGGGUGCAAGCGUUGUCCGGAUUUAUUGGGUUUAAAGGGUGCGUAGGCGGCCUUACAAGUCAGUGGUGAAAUUAUUGGGCUCAACCUAAUAACUGCCAUUGAUACUGUAAAGCUAGAGUAUAACUGAGGUGGUUGGAAUGCGUA
rnacentral:rRNA from 1 species